GUUGUUCUCUCUGGGCUGAAGAGACAGGGGCAGCUGGAAUGCUGUGUAAAGUUUGGACCAGCUAAAACCAAGAUGCUCCCCAGGCCCUGGCUGUCCGGUCAGGUGAGACUACCACCAGAGCUGACUUCGGCAUUGCCCCACAAGUACAGCAACUGCAGUGAGGUCUUCAAGAAGAAGAAUGUUGACAUCCUACCAUCACACCGGGAUUAUAAUUGCAUGAUUGAGCUGCAACAAAGGGCCAAGGUGCAAUAUCUGUGCCCUCUUCCACUCAUCCUGGAACUACUGGACCAUGUAUGAUCGGCCCAGGUACUCACAAAACACUAUCUGGGAGGGGCCUAAAACCUGGUUUGGAUCUGAGCUGGGGAUGAGUUGAAAAUGGCUUUUCAAAUCUACUGCCUAUGACCCACAAACUGACAAUCAGACCGAAUGAGCGAAGUCUUAGAACAAUACUUAUGCUGCUUCACAAAUUUCCACCAGGACAACUGGUUGAAACUCCUACCACAAGUAUAGUUUGAUUACAACAAUGUUGACCAUGUCUUCACUGGGCAGAGUCCAUUCUAUGCAAACUGUGGCUUUCACCCCCCAUCUCUAUCCAGCCAUACCUGUCAGCUCCACCAAUCCCGCAGCUGCCAACUGGAUGUGCCAGAUCUAUGAGGUCCAAGAAGAACUCAAGGUACAUCUGGAGAAGGCCAAGGAACAUUACAAGUGGUAGGCUGACCAACAGCCCCAGGAAAGUCCAGCAUUCACCAUCGGGCAAAAAGUGUGGCUCUCAAACCAAAACCUCUGCACCAACUGGUCACGUCAUAAACUGGAUUAUCAAUACAUUAGGCCAUAUUACAUCAGCCAGGUAACCAACCCAGUGACCACAAGCUUUAGUUAUCCAGAUCCCUCAAAAUACACCCAGUGCUUCACAUAUUCUUGCUAAAACCAUACAUCAACAACCCUUUUGCUCACCAGGCUCAACCAUCAACUGCUCCAGAGCAGGUGCAAGAACAUGAGUAUGAGGACCACAAGAAAAUCAAAUGUGGCUCCCUCUGGUUCCUUGUAGACUGAUCCUGGGUCCAAAAUCCAUGCCCCUGACCUUGUGGCAGCUCAUUCAAACACAUCCCAGGAUGGCUGAGGGUGCACCUAAAGAGAGGAGUAAUGUAAGCCUCCCAGUGGGUCUCAAACCCAGGCCUGCAGAGCUGUCAGAUACCACCACACUGCCACUCAUCCACAGCAAUAGGCAGCUUAUGCUCCACUAUCCAUGACCCCCUGUGGAUGUAGACCACAGGAAGUCCUGCCUCAAGUGGUCUGACAGGCAGUAGCCUCAUGGCUCCUGAUUGGCUCCCAGCCCUAUAUAAAUCCAAAGAGCAUUCCAGGAAGAGUGCCUAGGUAACCGUGUGGAUUUCCUGUAGCUGCCAUGGCUAUUCCUGCUCCCUGCUCUUGAAACCUUGGCUUUGACUUUGCCUUAAUUUGGACCUCACCUCCUGACCCGGACUCCGAAACUUGACUCAGACUCUGAUCCUUGAUAUUGACCCUGGCCUGGAACUUGACUACAAACUCUUCACACACACGUGUUCCUAUUUCCAAAGCACUGUGAAACCUUCUCUUGAAAUAGGGUCUAGAAGACAAAGGGACCAAGAAAGCUCUGCGGAGGCUUUGUAGAGAUUUCCUUUCAUUCUGCAGGACAGCUGGGCAGGAAAUGGUUUUCCUGUCUGACAGAGAUUUUGAGAUUUCAAUGUUUUCCCCAAAAAAGCUUGAAAAUUUUUGUGAACCAAUAAUCUUAAAAAGAAAAAAAAAAAGGAUUGACCCAGUCAAAAUGCCUCCUUUUAGCAUGUUUGAACCCCCUCCCUCUCCUGAAGUUUUUCAAAUCAGGAGAUUCAUCAAAACUGACUUUUUCCUGUGAACAGUUUUUUGAUGAAGUGACAUCUAUCUUUCCUAUGAAAAACUGUUUAGCCAGAAAAUUCCCAACCAGCUCUACCCAUCAAUUGUAAUGAGUCCAAGAAUGUGUGUCCAAAAAUUAGCAAAGAACAAAAAAUUGAUCUAAGGGGGGGAAAUCAACCUGCAUCACCUAACUCUCCAACAAGAAAGGCCUGUAGUAUCAACAGUGGCAGAUUUCUGCAACUACUUCUUUAUGUGAGCUACAUCUUUGCGAUUAGAUCCCCCAAUGUUUCUUGAUUUUGAUAAGAGGAAGAAAUUCUGACAACACAAAUGCUAUGGAGUAACACUAGCCAAGAUAACUUACUUCACUAAAAACUGUACAGGCGGUAUUGUGACACCUCGAUUUGUUCAAUGGGCUCUCCUGGCUAUCAGUCCUCUGCCUUAUAAAUAAGAAUAUUUCAUACUUAUUUUAAAGAAGUAAUGAACUAAAAUUGAAAGGAUACAUCUACUUUAGAUAUUAGGGAAAUAUUUUUAGGGCAAGGUCAAUCAGACAUAAAACAGUUUUCUUUAUGCAGUAGCCAUGGCACAAUCAUUAAGAAAUUUAAUAUAGAAAGAGUAAAAUAAAGACCUUUUUUGUGCUUGAAGCAUGAGACAUUUCUAUUGAAGAUCCCUUUUACCCGGUUACCUGUGAUUUUGCAUCUCCUAGUAUCAAAAGGUUAGUCAGGCCUGAUUAAGAUCCCUUCCUUCUAUUGCACUUGAGAGUUACUGAACUUUUGCUCACUGAGGAAAAUACUGAUCUGAAGUUCAGGAGAUUAAUGAGAAGAAACACCGCAUUUACUCAAGUCAAAUCUACGGUACAUCUGGUGCUGAUGCAGAGGAAGGAAACAGGUGUUUAGUUGUGACACAUUUUAGCACAAUUACACAAGUUCUGCUGCAAAACGCAUCCCACCCCAGCACAGACGUUAUCUUUACACCCACUAUGAGCCAGAAGUCAGGAAAUCUGCAUUGGUCAGAUUGUCAGCUGAUGUGGAAAACUGAGGAUGUUGUUUCAAUAUUCAUUUGGGAACAGCUGAAAAUUAACAAUGUUAAUGGUGAUGAUCAUUGAAACAGGACGGGGUGGCCCUAAAGCUAUGACAAACACAAAGUCUAAAAGCCCUAAAUCAUUACAACAUUGUAUCUGUGCUUUUUAAUCUUUCUACCAUGCAAAUUACAUAUACUAACCUGAGUCAUCAAUUGUCUGCUCAUUUGUUUUUAGAGUUGUAAUCGUAAUGUAUUUAUCUAUUUUUCAUGAACAAGUUCUCUGCAUAUAUAAAACAAACGUUCAGAUUGUUAAACACAGCUCCUAUGCAUUACAAGGGAAUAUGUUCUAGUGGUUAAAGUUCAGAAUUGGAUUUUUGGAGUUCACGUGUUUAUCCUGGGGUGUAACUGAUUGUUGUGUGAUCCUGACAAGUCACUUAAAUUCUCCAUGUCUCAGUCUCCCUAUAUGUGAAGUGGGGAAAGGAAUACCUGCAGUCCUAACCUCUAAGGAUGGUGGAAUGGGUAGCUUUUAUUUUCUAGCACUUGGAUUUAAUUAAUGUCUAUAAAGCAUUUUAAGAUCCUCAGCAAAAGGUACCAUGAAAAUGCCAAAGAGUGUUUAUUACUGUAAUAAAUACUGUAAAUAUCUUCUACAAUGCAAAACAUACGGCACACAUAGCCUUGCUCAGUUAGUUUGCUUAUUUAAGAACAAUGUGCUUCAGAGGAUGGGCAUAGCCUGCUCUCUUCACUUCACAUUUUGAUCUUAAUGACUGUUAAAUUCUUAAAAGGGCUUAUACUGUAGAAAACCAUCUUGAAUUGGUAGGGUUUAGACUGAAUGACCUUUUCUAUUUUUAAUUUCUAGAUGCUAUUAUUCUAACAAAGCUCAUGAGAUUGCAGAGGACAUAUUUGUUAUGGUGCGUUUAUUGGAGAUGAAGCAGGACUUCCUCAGGGACCAGGAGUUGAGAAGAACUUAGGCCCUGAUUCAGCAAGCUAAUGAGGCACGUGAAUCGUUCCACUGUUUAAGUUAGGGACGUGCUUAAGUAUUUUUCUGCAUCAGGGCCAUAAGUGGGGGAGGAGGCUUAUGAUAUAACUUGGGAAUUGGAUGAACCUUGAUUAGAUGUGGCUGAUAAAUACUAGCUAGACUACAAACCUGUCCAUUCAUGCAGACAACUACUAUGAAAGUGAAGACAUAAGUGCAAGCAAAGCCUUGAUGAAGAGACUCCUCAGCCUGUCUCCAGGGAAGAUAAAUAAUAAUGUACGCUCAUGCCUGCUGGAGUCACUCACCGUCUUUCAACAUUUUCAGAGGCAUUUCUUUCCUAGCAUAACUAGAGAGGAGAGAGACCUAGGCGCACUCAUGUUUUCUGCAUCCUUAAUUUAAAAAGUCAGUUUCCAGUGCCAGCAUGAGGAUGACUCAUCAUGCCCAAAGCACUUGCAAUAUUAAUCCGGUAGCUGGAAAGGGAGCUGUUCUACUUAAAUCAAAAUUCAUCCAAACACACAGAGAUUUGCUUGAAAUUCAAACCAAGCUUAUGAUUGGCAGAACACUUACAGCAGUGUUACCUUCAAGUUGGGAGGGAGGCAUCAGUUAUGAAAACAGAAUUUCUCCUUGGAAAUCGUGCAUUCAAAAAGAGAAAGCGUGAACUAUUAAGAAAAGGGAAAUAUCAGAGAGUUCACUAUAUAAAAGAUAUUAAGUCCAAGGCUUGGUCCCUUCAUACAUUCUUGCAUUAUUAAUUAUUAUUAUUGUAACAGAUAGGAAUUAGCAAAUGUGUAUAUGGAAAUAGGCAAACCAAACUAACAACUUCUAUCUCCUAACAAUUCAGCUGGCUCCAUAAUGCAGCUCGUUGGAUCUUCUCAACGAAGGAUAAAAUAAAUUAGGUUUCUGCUGCUUGAAAAUUAUUCUCAAUUUAAGUGUUUAUAUUUUCCAAGGCUUCAAGUCAUCUCUUUGGAUCAUUUGUAUAAAUAUAGAGUCGAGUGCUUGAAAGGAACUAUAUACAUUUCUGUGUAUCCCUAGCUUUUAAAUAAAGCAGUCUCUGUUGGGUCGGAGAAAACAGGUACAAAGAUAACAUUUAUUUAAGAAUCCAACAUACACAAAAAUAGAAGAGGAAAAUCAAACCCUUGAAGAAAUAAGAAUUUGCUUUUAAAAAGGUCAGUUAAAUGACACUAAGAAUCAGCAUUGAAUUGUAACACAGUAUUCCUGUGUAUUCUUCUAUUAAAAUGCUGUGAUAACCACAUCCCUCUCUACAAUCAGAAAUAAAGCUAUUAAUCUACCUUGAAAACUGGAGAUCUGUCACCUCAACUGUCAAACCCAUAACCUGACCUGCUGUUCAGUCCCUGGGGCCUUGUCUACACCAGACUCUGAGCAGGUUUUGGCAACAUAGGGUGAAACCCUGACCCCUCUAAAAUCAAUGGCAAAAGUCUCACUGACUUCAAUAGAGCUCAGAUUUCACCCAUAAGGGUAUAUCUACACAGCAGCUAGGAGCAUUCUUCCCACCUAGGAUAGACAGACACUCAUUAGCUGUGCUUGAGCUAGUGCGUUAAAAGUAGCAGUGUAGCUGGGACAGCAUGGGCAGCAAUUCUGGCUUGCUGCCUGAAUAUGCACCCAGGGUCUGCGCUACUCCCAGCUAUGCUGCUAUCUUUAGCAUAGUAGUUCGAGCCAAGCUAGUGUGUGUCUGUCUAUCUGCACUGGGAAGCACGCUCCCAGCUGCAGAGUUGACAUACCCAUAAUGGUUAAAAAUUCCAUCAACAACCCAGCAUUAGCAGUCCCAUCAUGGCUACAGUCCCACCAUGGCUACAGUGGUGGAGCUGAAGCAAUGAAAGCAAUGGUGGGGGAAAAGGGAAAUGUAGUCAUAGCCUAGGAGGGACAACUUUAGCUCUUAAUUUAAACAUUCUCUCAUUCAGUCCACUCAGCAGGGCCUCCAUCCUGUAAGAUUCAGAGAAUUCCAGCCUCAAGCCAGUACAGCACUUAAGAACAUGUUUUAUGUUUAAGGAUAUGUGUAGUCCAUUGACUGUAAUGGGAUCACUCAUGUCCUUAGGUAUAUGACUUAAGUGCUUUGUUGGGUUCAGGGUCAGAAUUCUCAGCCUUGUAGGAUGGAACCUCAUAGAAGCCUGGAACUUCACUUCCACACCAGACCAGGCCUCCCCCCAUGUUUUCCUGGCCCAUCUUCCUUUUCACAAACAACAUCUAGAAUGUGAAUCUUGUGAGUUUUCUUUCACCUGGCAUGUGGCCUGUAUAAUGUUCUCCCGCCUUGCCCAUUAAACACUUUACAACAAUAAUCAGAAGAUCUUCAGCUACAGAAAAAUUUAGAUAAGGAAAUUCAAAGGGAGCCAAGCUCUUAAAAAUCUAAUAAGUUUAUCCUCAAAUUGUAUCUGAUGCAACUUUUCAAAGCUGGCCUAUAAUGAGAUGUGCCCUUUUUCAAGAUAUCAUCAACUUUGGGAAGCACUAUGAAGUGUAGAAAAAAGCCUAAAAAGAACUACUGUCCUUGCCAAAAAUUACUACUGUGAAUAUUGAACAACAGAACAGUAGAGUAAGCAAUAUAAAUUAAAUUUCAGAGACAAGAACAGUUCUAUUUUUCAUAGAUGAAUGUAUGAUAAGACAAAUCUUGUGGUAUGUUAGGUAGCUUUGCACCAAAUACUGUCUGAGUGACUAAUCUGUAUGAUCAGAUAUGUAGUUAAUUCAGAGAAAUUAAGUAGUUCUAUUUCUGUCUCUCAACAAGACAGUCUGCAUACUUUAAGAAACUGUUAUUAGAACUUUACAGUUCCAGAGAAACAUUAUUGUUUUAUGAAUUACACAGUUGACUUUUCUUCUGGAUGUUAUAUGGUGAUAAGUUUCUCAGGCAUUUUCAAGGCAUGCUGACCUUCAUUAUUAAUCCUGCUAUUGACAUCAAUGUGAUUAUCUAAUUUUGCUCAAUAUAUUUCUCAGUAUUGCUUAAAGUGCAUAGAUGAAAGUAUAUUCAGUAUACUGUAUUCACCAACAAUACAAAUAUGGCUGGGACAGUAGAUAGCUGACACGAUGGAACCCCACUGCAAACUUGGGAACUUUCAUAACUAAUUAUUUUGCUCUCUGAUGAAAUCGGCUAGAUAAAUUAACUAUUGUAAACAAAGUAAAAAGAAUAGUCCUCCCCUUCCAGCCAGUAUGAUCCAUCCAAUGAUCCUGGCUAUUAUUGGAGAAAGUCAGUCAUUUAAGUUUAAUAUCUUAGAUGAGGACUUAUUUUUACUAGAACUUGUGAUCCAGAUUCAGGGCCAUUCUGUGACUACUUUGUAGACAUUUGCUGGGGCUAAGUGGUCACAAAUCUGAAGUAUUGAGACAGAAGAGCAUUCCCCUUGCAUGGGGAAAUUCUCCACUGGCAUAGAGCCACUGUAGCAACUCGUACACCUACCUCCCCUGAUCCCCCCCCCACCCUCACCCACUGUCUCUGACAUAGGGAGUGUGAUUUGAUAAAAGGGCUCAUGGCUGGAACACACCACACCAACCAUUGCAUCCAAAGAGGGCAGCUUGGAGUAAAACAGAGUGGCCCUCAGACUGCUUUAUUCUGUACUGCAUACAGGGACAAGGUCAACAGCCAAUGACUUCAGGCACAGAUAACUGUAAAGAUGACUUAAAGUAACCUUCAGUUUCUCUCCAGUACAGCACUGAGCAGGGCUUGACCAGAGCAGAGAAUCGGGAUCUGCCUAGAGUCAUACACCGCUACCUCGAUAUAACGCAACCUGAUAUAACAUGAAUUCGGAUAUAACGUGGUAAAGCAGCACUCUGGGGGGCGGGGCUGCGCACUCCAGUGGAUCAAAGCAAGUUCAAUAUAACGCGGUUUCACCUAUAAACGCGGUAAGAUUUUUUGGCUCCCGAGGACAGUGUUAUAUUGAGGUAGCGGCGUAUUUUGAAGAGUUCUUAUUCAUUGCACUUAUCUAAUCAUAUUAGUUCCCUCCAAUGAGUUUCAUAUGCCUCUACUUUUAUGUUCAAACAAUAUUGAUGCUGAUUUAGCUAAAGUGGACAAGCAGAAAAUUACUGUUAGACAAAUAUUGUAGUCAUGUAAUAUAUUCCUUUAAAGGCAUCUGAAUAUUAUCCAAAAUGUAAGACCCCAGAGUAUGACUAUUGGGCCAUUCAACCACAGCUAGUAGAUAGUUCCCUUGACUAUCCUUUGAUUCUAUAAGAAAAUGAACCUGGAGCUAAACUUAUGCCUAAUGGAUUUAAGCAAGCACAGUUCUUACUGCUCCAAAAGCCAGAAUCCCUAAGGAAUCUAUGCAUCUCUGAAAUCUUCAAGUAUGUAUGUGCUUAAUCAUGCCAGAAAAGUGCCAAAAUGUUUCCCAUUUAAAUUAAUAUAAGAAAUAUAUUAUAAUGUGAUGCUAGAACAAAAACUUUGGUCUGUCUAUAACAUGGUCUUCAGUAUUUAUUUCUAAUUUUCAGAUUGCAUCUAAGCAAGCUACUCAAAUUUAAAUUUCCUAAAUCCAUAUUGUCUCACUGUUGGUUAAAAUAUUCCUUGUGAAAUGAACUUGGUAAGCUGUCCCUCUGGGAAAGUCAUUUCAUUGUCAACCACUUUGAAUUUUUUUCUCACUUUAAUGUUCUUGUUCAAAUAUAACUUGUUUUAUCUAGCAGCACAGGGUCAAUUUCAGUCACAAAAUUAAACUUAGUGAAGCAAGUAUUUACAAUUGCCUGAACUACAAUAAAAACAGCUUAAAUCAA